AAGCAAUGGUCACCCUGAUCCCGGCAUCCUUCCUGGAGCGCGAGUACGCAGGCGCGGACCUCUACUGUGCGGUGAAGCGGCGGCUGGAGAGCGGGUGCCAACAAAAUGGCCCUUUUUGUCAAGAAUCUGCUCCAAGCGGUCAACAGGCCUCUUUUGCAAUGGAAUAGAUGCUCAAUCCUUUGGAUGUCGGUUUGUUCGGUGAUGCGUAAGCAAUCGAUUAUUGCAGCCACAAUGAGGCCCAAGCUGUGGCCAGAUAAUUACAAAGCAAUACGAUCAACUGACGUGACUUUUCUUGAACCAUAUCAACUGCAAGGCGUACAGAACUUUGCUGGAAUGAAAACAAAGUCUGCUCUAAAGCGACGGUGUAAGGACUGCUUCUUUGUGCGUAGACGAGGACAUUUGUAUGUUUAUUGCAAGACUCAUCCUCGGCAUAAACAGAGGCAGGGUUAACCCGGAGAUAGAAAUUCAAAUGAUAAUAAAUUGCAAAGUUGAAUUUAAA